CAAUCACUUGUCUUUUAAAUGGAGACCUGUAUGAAUGGCAUAACGAGGGCCUAACUGUCUCCUUUUUCAAGUCAAUGAAAUUGAUCUUCCCGUGCAGAAGCGGAAAUAACUUCAUAAGACGAGAAGACCCUAUGGAGCUUUAGACAAAAGACAGACCAUGUUAAGCACCCUCAAAUAAGAGACCAAACUCGAUGUUUACUGCCCUAAUGUCUUUGGUUGGGGUGACCGCGGCGAAAUAAAUAACCCCCGUGUAGAAAGAGGGCUCACUCCCUUCAAAUCAAGAGCUCCCGCUCAAACAAACAGAAUAUCUGACUAAAUAAGAUCCGGCAAUGCCGAUCAACGGACCGAGUUACCCUAGGGAUAACAGCGCAAUCCCCUUCUAGAGCCCA
rnacentral:rRNA from 1 species